UAGAGUGCCUUGGCUUAGACGUGACACUUCAACAAUAAUAGUGCGGAUUUAUGCGCUGCUCCAGCGUGAAAGAAAACUUUGUAUUUAGUGUUCCUCCAUCGUCCCUGCUUGCAAACUACAACCUUACCUUAACUUAAUAUCAAACUUUGUUUCCCACAUCUCUAGCUUCACCAAAGUAGUUCUGCAACAGAAAAACAUGUGGGUUAUUAUCCUAUCAAGCUGUACGUUGAAUCGUUGAUGUCCUAAAAUGUACAUCCGCGUGACCUUUCACAAGCACCUUUUUCAGUUGUAUAAUUUUCAGCCAAUUCCACAGCAGGAAUAGCAUAUUGAUGGCUGAUCUAAUUUUAGAUGAUUGAUACUGAUAUUGACAGUUUGACCAAGUGUGGCCAUGAUGUCUGCAAAUAUUGCAUGUUAUCGAAGUUAUUGCGAUUUUAAUUUUAGAAGAAAAAGGGUGGGCCGCCAGUGCCAUCUAUCAAACACAAAUCGAGCCAAGUUGACAGUGCGUUGAGCCAUCCGUAAAAAUAAACACAAACAGAACUCCAAUCUCAGUGCUGUAGGUUUCCACUUACAAUACUUUGGAGGCAUAAUUGCUACCAUGGUAUAAUAGUUUAGAGGUACGUUUACUCCUAUCCCGCCAAAGUGUCGUCGUUUUCAGGAACGUAGGCGGCAGCACUUGUUCGUCGAAGUCGAACUUACAUGGAAGGUAUAGGGAAAAGUUGGGUUUUCCGCAUUUUUGGGGAAUAUGUAAUUAAGUUAUAGCCUUAAAAUAUUUUUAUUUUUAUAGAAAAAAAAAUUAGAAGUGCAGUCCAUUUUGCCAAAAUGUCUUAAUCCUAAAGGGGAAAAUUCUAGAAUUUUUUGAAAAGGCUAGAAAGGGAAGAAAAUUUGGCGCUUUGCCAUGAAAAAGGAUGCUGUUUCCAGAGUAGCUACUAGAGUCUAGGAGCUACUCUGGAUCCGUUUCAUCUAAAAAUUGAUUAAUUGAGUGGGAAACUAAUAUUUAUUUGGAAUUAGCUUCUCAUUUUGGUUGUAAUAGGUUAAGUUUUAUUGAAUUCCAAGUCAAAAUUGCCGAAUUUUUAUGCAAUAAGUCGGUCUUAAAAUGUCGGGCUUAAUUAAUAAAGUAAUACUAGAUAUCUUAUCAAUAGAUGGCUACACUGUUUAGUGGAUCGUCUGCAAUGGAAAUUCACCGCUCAUUAGAUGAAGCCUAGUGUUAGCUGUUAGGGAUUUGAGACGUGUUCAGCGAGAAGUUAAUGAAUGUUCAGUGCGUACCGUUUCAAACUUUAUUUUUUUACUUAAUUUUUUGUAUUCUUAAAUUAGCAGGAGAAACCUAAAGUUGGAGGAUGAAACAUUUGUUUCUCGUUACUAGUUUUGUAAAACAAAUGGUAAAUUGGUAAAAUGAAACAACAUGUGAAUUAUUACUUUAAAUAAAUUGUUUUCAAAAGUGGAGAUUGAUUUUAAAUCUUCAGCUUCACAGGCAGACACCCAUCCACAAAGCCAUGGGUGAUAUAUGAUAUUCACAGCGGGCAUGACUGCAUUGUAAAUUAGUAUAACUUUUACAAAGCCAAUCAGAUUAAGAUCACGUUUCUACUGUGAAAGAGACCAUGUGCCUCAAUGAAAAUUGCUAUCUCUGUUUUCAACAUCAGACCUCCCCAGUGUGUCAUUCUGAUGCAGACCUCUUGAAAUCAACUUGAAUGUUUUAAAACAUCUCAGGAAAAAGCUGAAGUUUUAGAGUUAUUAGAAAAGUCGUCGUGUUUUGGUUAGAGUUUCUUUGCCGUCCGAUGCUUCAAUUGGAAUGAUGUUCACCUCCUCGACGUCAUUACUCACGUAAUUUAAUAUCUUGUUGCUUCGAAAAAAGUUGUAUUUAUCUUGAAUUUUAAAAUGAAAACUUUGAUGUAUUAUUCUUAUUUCGAGGUUAUAUCGAUCCGCAAAGGUAAAUCGGAUGAGGGUAUUCUUUUCCUUGAUAUAAGAACGGAAAUUUAAGCAUUAGAACAUCCUCGUCUAAUCAGAUCAAAUGCACGACGUAUCCCCCUCGUCCGGCAACUACCAUCCAACAACGCAUCCAUCAACAGAAUGUUUAUGGGUCAAUGAUUAUAUCGUCGUCAUAAUGAAAUCAGUGGUUCGACCCCCAUGAGAGAAGACUGGUUGAACUAAACAUGAUAUAUGUUGAUGAUUCAUGUUAUCGUUACCGUUUACGACUGAAAAUCAUGACAUAAAUUUUUAUUCUACAGAAUUUCAAUUUUUUAAAUGUCCACAUGUUGCAACUACAUUAUAUAGAAAUACAGUCAAUUUGCAAG